rnacentral:rRNA from 1 species
UCGCCCGCCGCGCGCGGCGGGCGGGGCGGGGGCACGGGGGGCCUACGGGAGGCAGCAGUGGGGAAUAUUGCACAAUGGGCGCAAGCCUGAUGCAGCCAUGCCGCGUGUAUGAAGAAGGCCUUCGGGUUGUAAAGUACUUUCAGCGGGGAGGAAGGCGAUAAGGUUAAUAACCUUGUCGAUUGACGUUACCCGCAGAAGAAGCACCGGCUAACUCCGUGCCAGCAGCCGCGGUAAU